rnacentral:rRNA from 1 species
CGUUCCCAUUCCGAACACGGAAGUUAAGCUCUGAUGCGAAGAUGAUACUUGGCUGGCGACGGCCUGGGAAAGUAUUUCAAUGCCGGCA